rnacentral:rRNA from 1 species
CACCGGCGGCUCGAGUGGUAACCGUUAUUAUUGGGUCUAAAGGGUCUGUAGCCGGCCGGAUAAGUCUCUUGAGAAAUCCAGCAGCUCAACUGUUGGGCUUUCAGGAGAUACUGUCUGGCUCGAGGCCGGGAGAGGUGAGAGGUACUUCAGGGGUAGGGGUGAAAUCUUGUAAUCCUUGAAGGACCACCAGUGGCGAAGGCGUCUCACCAGAACGGACCUGACGGCAAGGGACGAAAGCUAGGGGCACGAACCGGAUUAGAUACCCGGGUAGUCCUAGCCGUAAACGAUACUCGCUAGGUGUCGGCCACGGUGCGACCGUUGUCGGUGCCGUAGGGAAGCCGUGAAGCGAGCCACCUGGGAAGUACGGCCGCAAGGCUGAAACUUAAAGGAAUUGGCGGGGGAGCACCACAACGGGUGGAGCUUGCGGUUUAAUUGGAUUCAACGCCGGA